AGAGUUUGAUCCUGGCUCAGGAUGAACGCUAGCGGCAGGCCUAAUACAUGCAAGUCGGACGGGAUUGAAGAGCUUGCUUUUCAUGAGAGUGGCGCACGGGUGCGUAACACGUACGUAACCUACCUUUAUCAGGGGGAUAGCCUCUCGAAAGAGAGAUUAAGCCCGCAUAACAUCACGAUAUAGCAUUAUAAUGUGAUCAAAUAUUUAUAGGAUAGAGAUGGGCAUGCGGAACAUUAGCUAGUUGGUAAGGUAAUGGCUUACCAAGGCUACGAUGUUUAGGGGAUCUGAGAGGAUGACCCCCCACACUGGUACUGAGACACGGACCAGACUCCUACGGGAGGCAGCAGUAAGGAAUAUUGGUCAAUGGGCGGAAGCCUGAACCAGCCAUGCCGCGUGCAGGAAGACGGCCCUACGGGUUGUAAACUGCUUUUGCAGGGGAA
rnacentral:rRNA from 1 species